rnacentral:lncRNA from 1 species
CGUCUAAAAGGAAAAAACAAGAGCCGCAGUCGUCCGGCAAGAUUGUAUGCCCGGUCUGACGGCAUGCCCUCUCGACUGGGUCGUCGGAUGGGUUAGAAUGGACCUUGUGUCCGAUGUUCAUAGGUCCAGUUGGGGUAUUGGCUGCAGAAUGAUGGCUUUACUGUUCGGGGCGAUAAGCGGACUUGCCGGCUGAUGACUGGAAGGCGGGGUCGGCAUUGUCUUGCCCUAAGGAAGAGCGCAAAUGGAUUGGUGGAUGCUUCGAGGUGGUGUCGCGUGUUCGGAGAUCACCUACAGGUGAUGGCUGGACGUUGGCAUCGUCGAGAACCACUGGGUUUAGAUCGGAUCUGUUAGACCCGAUUUGGUUCAGAUCGGAUCUGUUAGACACUUAGACCCGAUUUGGUUUGGGCUAUAUGGCUUCGACCUGAGGGGCGGCGAGGCUAGAUGGCUCGACGACAGUCGCGGUGGCGCUGCUGCUAGUGGUGGGACGACAUGGGAGGCGCCAGUGGGAUGCAUGGUUUCUGAUUUCUGCACCCAAUUGCUUCGAUUUGGGCCUGUUGGAGGUCGGGUCUGGGCUUUGUCCCUUGGCCCAUUUAUCUUUUCUGUUUUGUCUUAUUUUUACUUAUUUUUAGUUAAACGUGGCUCUAUGCCGACAAUACGUCCCUACCACUUUUGGUUAGGGCGACGUGGGUUUUGUCCCGGUAUGCACACUUAGUGUGCCUUGUCUAGCCGAGCGAGGCGGCAAGCUAUUUGCUUGUUCAAAUAGAAGCAACCUCCUAGUGGUAGGAUGAAAUUGAGUGUCGUCGGAUUUAUUUACGUGCGGCAACAUAGUGGGAAAGCUGUGCUAUUUGUAAUGAUGCUUCUUUAUAAUAGAGUUAUCUUUCAGGUAUGUCACUGCUAUAUU